UUUUAUUAUAACAAAGAUAAAAAAAACAUAGUGUGCUUACUAAUAUAGUAUAUAUUAUUAUUAAGAAAAGAACUGGAGGAAAAAAAAAUCAAUGUUGCUAGGUGAUUUUACUUUGGAACCUUCAGAAAACUUUAACUUGACUUUAAACGGGUGUAGCUCAGUCAUUUUUAUCUGAUUCCAACAAAUCAUACAUCAUUUUGAAGGUCUUAAAAUAAAAUAACUCAUUUAGCCAGCACAGGUCAUGUUUUAUCAUUGAGACACUAUUAUAAUUUUUAUGAAUAGUUAGAAUUUUUUAUUUUUAGAUUUUCUCAUUUCAUUUUACUAUUUACAUUUUUGUAGCAUGUUUUUAUCAUUUUUAUUAGUUUUUUGAAUGUCUGUGAUGUUCUUGUUAUUUUACUCAUUUUAGUGUUACUCUUUUUACUACAUCAAGCUUAAAUGUGAAAUAUUUCCUCUUUCUCCUUCAUCUAGUUUUUUUAAGAGCUCUUAGAAGUCCUGACAUAUCAAUUGUCAAACUUUCUACAGGUUACAAUGAUGAGCUGGGAGACUUUUAUUCUGAAAUUAGAGACCCAGCAUUAGAACAUUCUCAACCUUUGGCUUUACCUCAAAGGGUUUUGAUUCACAGUCAGCUCAAGCCAUGCAACGAUGGACGGAUAAACAGAAUAAGUGCUAAUAAAGCCAGUCUUUAUACUGCCCAUGCAAACCCAGAGCACAGUGCUGACUCUGAUCAUCUCUGGUCUGGUUCUCUUGAUGUGACCUUUGACCUGGGAGUAAAUGAUUGGGAUGAUUUUGAUGAUGGUAACCUGGUUGAAGCUAGUGAGGUGUGCUGUGAUUCCCAACUAUGUGACCCAAUGACAGACCAUGUUCAACCUUCAAAUGCUGGAGGUUUGGCUUCAGCCUCACAAUGUAGAGCCCAAACCAUACAAGGAACUGCAAGUCCUGUCUUGCCACAAAGGAUCCAACCAAUGGCUGCUACCUCUCAAACUGUAAGCUUACAUAAUUGCUGUUUUAACAUUUCCCCCAAAUCAUUUAAGAAGAAUAUGGUACCAUGUAAUUUGUAUGUACUAGAAAAGAUCGCAGUAAUUGUGUUUGAGUCACUAUUUGCUGGUUUUAUUAAUCAUCUCACAGCCAGUGUGCUCAGAAAUGAGUAUGAAGUCCCUUUCAAACCAGAGUCAAGCCAAAACAUCUUCAGUCCAAAGAAGAUUUGA
rnacentral:lncRNA from 12 species